GACUACUGGGGUAUCUAAUCCCGUUUGCUCCCCUGGCUUUCGCAUCUCAACGUCAGUUGCAGUCCAGCAAAUCGCCUUCGCCACUGGUGUUCCUCCCAAUCUCUACGCAUUUCACUGCUACACUGGGAAUUCCAUUUGCCUCUCCUGCACUCAAGCUUGACAGUUCCAAUCGCAGUGCAGGGGUUGAGCCCCUACAUUUCACAUUUGGCUUAUCAUGCCGUCUACAUGCGCUUUACGCCCAGUUAUUCCGGACAACGCUUGCCACCUACGUAUUACCGCGGCUGCUGGCACGUAGUUUGCCGUGGCUUCCUUCUCAGGUACCGUCUUGUUUCGUCCCUGUUGACAGAGCUUUACGAUCCGAAAACCUUCUUCACUCACGCGGCGUUGCUCCGUCAGGCUUUCGCCCAUUGCGGAAUAUUCCCUACUGCAGCCCCCCGUAGG
rnacentral:rRNA from 1 species